AUGCAAGUCGAGGGGUAGUUAUCUUCGGAUAAUGAGACCGGCGCACGGGUGCGUAACGCGUAUACAAUCUACCUUUUACAGAGGGAUAGCCCAGAGAAAUUUGGAUUAAUACCUCAUAGUAUUUUUUGAAUGGCAUCAUUUGAUUAUUAAAGUUCCAACGGUAAAAGAUGAGUAUGCGUCCCAUUAGCUAGAUGGUAAGGUAACGGCUUACCAUGGCAACGAUGGGUAGGGGUCCUGAGAGGGAGAUCCCCCACACUGGUACUGAGACACGGACCAGACUCC
rnacentral:rRNA from 1 species